rnacentral:rRNA from 1 species
ACUCAAAUGAAUUGACGGGGGCCCGCACAAGCGGUGGAGUAUGUGGUUUAAUUCGACGCAACGCGAAGAACCUUACCCAGCCUUGACAUCCCUGGAACCCGGUGGAAACACUGGGGUGCCUUCGCAAGAAGGAGCCAGGUGACAGGUGCUGCAUGGCUGUCGUCAGCUCGUGUCGUGAGAUGUUCGGUUAAGUCCGGCAACGAGCGCAACCCUUGCUUCCAGUUGCCAUCAUUCAGUUGGGAACUCUGGAGGGACUGCCGGCGCCAAGCCGGAGGAAGGUGGGGACGACGUCAAGUCAUCAUGGCCUUUAUGGCUGGGGCUACACACGUACUACAAUGGCGACUACAAAGGGCUGCGAAGCAGCGAUGUGAAGCAAAUCCCAAAAAAGUCGCCUCAGUUCGGAUUGGAGUCUGCAACUCGACUCCAUGAAGUUGGAAUCGCUAGUAAUCGCGGAUCAGAACGCCGCGGUGAAUACGUUCCCGGGCCUUGUACACACCGCCCGU